UGUAAUUUUGUGUCUUUUUUGUGUCCCUGAUGUUUAAUGAGAUGCACUGCCCAUUUUAUUUUAAACUCCAGGCUCAUUCAAAGCUGUAGCAUGGAACUUUAGUGUUGUCCACAUGCACAGUGCAAUCAGAAUCUCAAAGACUGAAAUGUGACUUUUCCCACUGCUUGUUUUCUGCUGACCAGUACUGGAGUACAGAUGAAUAAAGAACCCACUUUCCUGUUGUCUGAUGUACACGAGGUGGUGGUAAACUAGGUUAUCUUGGUUUUUAAGGCUUUUACAGGUUCUACACUACCCUGUAAUUAUGGUAAAAGACUUCAUCUUUGGGUCAGGUGGGGAAAUUUCUCUUUUAGAUUUCUGGAGUCAACUUUUAACACACAGGUCAAUGGGAACCGCAUCACGAUUUAUUCAUCGACUGUCCGACCGACUGAAUGGCUGGUACAUAAGAUGCACACUGGCCAUUUAAAAAUAAAUGUCGACUUGUGCAUGCGCAAUAUACAUAAAGCUCUUGCUGGCACCAAAAUGUUCACACCAACAGUUUUCAAGAAAUUGAAGAGAUGCAGGAUGAUAAGAAGCGGGUCUGUUUGAAGGUGGAGUAAAUAGUAUCAUUGGUCAUGAUUUGGAAAAUUAAUAAUUUCUGUUUUCUCAUAUAUGACAAAUCUGAAGAUAAAGCAACAAGAAAUUGAAAAAUAUUUUUAUUGUUAGUCACCUAAAUGGAGUCCAAAAGCACCUGGGAUGUAUCUGAGGUCCAAAAAUUGGAAAUUAGAAAAUUAUAAGCUUUAGAAGUCAUCAGGAGAGCAAAGAAACAAGG